UCUCUCUAGGUAUGUUAUCCCAGAGGUAAUGACACUGUGGUGUUUCACCCAGUCCUCUCUCUCUCUCUAGGUAUGUUAUCCCAGAGGUAAUGACACUGUGGUGUUUCACCCAGUCCUCUCUCUAGGUAUGUUAUCCCAGAGGUAAUGACACUGUGGUGUUUCACCCAGUCCUCUCUCUAGGUAUGUUAUCCCAGAGGUAAUGACACUGUGGUGUUUCACCCAGUCCUCUCUCUCUCUAGGUAUGUUAUCCCAGAGGUAAUGACACUGUUGUGUUUCACCCAGUCCUCUCUCUCUCUAGGUAUGUUAUCCCAGAGGUAAUGACACUGUGGUGUUUCACCCAGUCCUCUCUCUCUCUCUAGGUAUGUUAUCCCAGAGGUAAUGACACUGUGGUGUUUCACACAGUCCUCUCUCUCUCUAGGUAUGUUAUCCCAGAGGUAAUGACACUGUUGUGUUUCACCCAGUCCUCUCUCUAGGUAUGUUAUCCCAGAGGUAAUGACACUGUGGUGUUUCACCCAGUCCUCGCUCUCUCUAGGUAUGUUAUCCCAGAGGUAAUGACACUGUGGUGUUUCACCCAGUCCUCUCUCUCUCUAGGUAUGUUAUCCCAGAGGUAAUGACACUGUGGUGUUUCACCCAGUCCUCUCUCUAGGUAUGUUAUCCCAGAGGUAAUGACACUGUGGUGUUUCACCCAGUCCUCUCUCUCUCUCUAGGUAUGUUAUCCCAGAGGUAAUGACACUGUGGUGUUUCACACAGUCCUCUCUCUCUCUAGGUAUGUUAUCCCAGAGGUAAUGACACUGUGGUGUUUCACCCAGUCCUCUCUCUCUCUAGGUAUGUUAUCCCAGAGGUAAUGACACUGUGGUGUUUCACCCAGUCCUCUCUCUCUCUAGGUAUGUUAUCCCAGAGGUAAUGACACUGGGGUGUUUCACCCAGUCCUCUCUCUCUCUCUAGGUAUGUUAUCCCAGAGGUAAUGACACUGUGGUGUUU